GAUGAAGCCGGCUUGGCGAAGGUCGCCGACUCGCUGUCGUCUAUCACCGACUCGGAUGCCUCCGGUAUCACAGAGGCUACAAUGGACAAAGCUCUCGACGCCAGUGAAUCCAUACUUAACAAGAUGUCCUCAAACGCCAACCUUGGAAACGCAGCAUUAACACAAAUAUCUACAGCCAUCGUUGGUACAAUCAGCAACCUGUUGUCAACUACGUUAGGUGAUGACCCAGCCAGUAACGUUACGGACAGUGCUAAUGCAAC